CAAACAUUCCACUUUUUGACAAAAUAACUUUGUCUGACUCAAAUACAAAGCGAAACCCAUGCUUAUUCAAAAGUGACCCGGAUACUAGGUUUUUGCGAAUUUCCGGCACAUAUAGCACUUUGUUGAAAGUCAGAUCUUUCGAGGUCAUCUUCAGAACCACCUUUCCUUGUCCCUUGAUUUCAGAAGUUUCCUAUGAACAACUUCUUUCUAUUCUCAAUUGCUUCAAACGUAGCAAAUAACUCCUUAUCAGAGCACACAUAUCUUGUAGCACCGGUGCCAAUCCACCACUCUUUAGGGUUUGAACCCACCAUAUUCACUUCAGAAAUGACAGCUGAGAGAUUCAACUCCAACACAUCUUAUGUCAUGUAGUCAACCACAUUUGCUUCUUUCUUCUUCUUUGGCAAUCUGCACUUCGAAGACUUGUGGCCCACUUUGUCACAAUUGACGCAUUUUCCUUGAAAUUUCUUCUUAAAAAUUCCACAUUUCAGUCAUUGCUUGGUCCUUUUGUCACCGAAUGGCCCAGCCUUUUUUUUGUAAUUCUUACUACUUUGACCAUGCUUCACAACAUUAGCUUUAGCAGCACUAGGAUUGAACCAUUUCUUUUCAGAACUAUUGUUGUUUUCUUCAAAUCGAAGUCUAACAAUUAGUUCUUCGACGUUCAUUUCCUUUUGCUUGUGCUUCAAAUAAUUUUUGAAAUCUUUCCAUGCGGGGAGACAAUUUUUUAAUAAUUGCAACCAUUUGAAAAGUUUCACUCAAAAUCAUCCAUUCGGCAUGAAUUUUGUGAAGAAUCACUUGGAGUUCUUGCACUUGACUGAUAACUGUUUUGGAGUCCACCAUUUCAUAGUCUAAGAAUCUACCGACAAUGAACUUUUUAACUCCGCCAUCCUCAAUUUUAUAUUUUCGAUCCAAAGACUCCCAAAGUUCCUUAACAGUUUUCAUAGUACUAUACACAUUGUAUAGAGUGUUUGCUAAGCUAUUCAUAAUAUAGUUUUGGCAUAGAAAAUCCGAGUGGUUCCAAGCAUCAAGUGCACUGAUUACUUGAACAUUUCCCUCACCCUCAUUGAGUUUUGGAGUUGUCUCAGUCAAGAAUCUCGCAAGAUUUAAAGUGGUCAGAAAAAAUAACAUUUUCUGCUGCCACCUUUUGAAAUUCAAGCCAUUGAAUUUAUCUGAUUUUUUUUCAUGAUUAACCGAAAAAUUAACAGUAUGACCAGUUGUUGGAGCCACAAUUUGACUUACAACAUGACUUGGCAAUCUAGCCACAGUCUGAGCUACAACAGAGCUUGGCCCUGAACCCACAGCCAAAC
rnacentral:lncRNA from 1 species